rnacentral:rRNA from 1 species
AACGAACGCUGGCGGCAUGCCUAACACAUGCCAGUCGAACGAGACCUUCGGGUCUAGUGGCGCACGGGUGCGUAACGCGUGGGAACCUGCCCUUAGGUUCGGAAUAACUCCCCGAAAGGGGUGCUAAUACCGGAUCAUGUCUUCGGACCAAAGAUUUAUCGCCUUUGGAUGGGCCCGCGUUGGAUUAGCUAGUUGGUAGGGUAAAAGCCUACCAAGGCGACGAUCCAUAGCUGGUCUGAGAGGAUGAUCAGCCACUCUGGGACUGGGACACGGCCCAGACUCCUACGGGAGGCAGCAGUGGGGAAUAUUGGACAAUGGGCGAAAGCCUGAUCCAGCAAUGCCGCGUGAGUGAUGAAGGCCUUAGGGUUGUAAAGCCCUUUUACCCGGGAUGAUAAUGACAGUACCGGGAGAAUAAGCUCCGGCUAACUCCGUG